GCUACCAGCUCCCCUGUACAGCCUGGGAAUACAGGGAGCAGGAAGUGGAAAGGAGGGAUUAUUAGGGGUUUUGCAGAAAUAUUCAGCUUGAAGCACUAAAUUUUUAAGCAAAAUUCUUCUAUAUCUAAAUCAGUGUAUUGCACUGGUACAUUCUUAUUUUUUACACAAAAUGUCUCCUUCAAUUUUUCUGCAAUUAAUCUGUUGCUUUCAGGCCUUGCAUGGUUUCCCCCAAUCCAGAAACCGGUUUAGUAUGGUGGAAGCAGGUACUGAGGAACAGACAGAACAGGCAAGACUGGUACUCUCUAUUCUGGUGCAAACAGGAUAAGCAAGGCUGGUAGCAAUACAGGCUGGGGCAAGAUACAAGACGCUAGACGCAAAUACCAUGUAGGAUGUGAUACUCAGUGCCAUCUGCUGGAUACAAUGGAGCAGACAGCUUGUCCCAGCUAAUUGAUGGACAGAGUGGAAGGAGCCACUGUAUAGCAUGGAGAUGGUAUGAAUUUAAUUUUUAGUUGUAAAAUAAAGAUGGCUAUAAUUGUAUAGGCAUUAUAUGUAGCUAUUUAUAUCAUAUAUUUAUAGCUCUAAUCUGCCCCCUACAAA